rnacentral:misc_RNA from 1 species
GUGAAUCAUCGAAUCUUUGAACGCAAAUUGCACUCUCUGCGGUUAGUAUGCCUGUUUGAGGGUCAGCCUAAAAAAAAUCGACAUAGUAACUGUUUCGCGCUGACAAUCGUCGGAAAGUGGGACAUCGUAAACCUCUGGGUUUUAAGCGUCUUAAAAUUUUCUUUACGAUUCUACGAACGGUUCUAAGAUU